rfam:Picea glauca, whole genome shotgun sequence.
ACAUAUGCCUACAACAUAGUGUUAAUGCACCGGAUCCCAUUAAAACUCCGUAGUUAAGCGCGCUCGGGCUAGAGUAGUACUGGGAUGGGUGAUCACCCGGGAAGUCCUAAUGUUUUACAUG